CCUCGCUUAGCUCAGCUGGAAGAGCGCAAGACUGUAAUAGCCAUAUCUGUUGAUCUUGAGGCCCGCGGUUCGAUCCCGCGAGCGAGGA